rnacentral:rRNA from 1 species
UAGGAGGCGUCGAGCGGCGGACGGGUGAGUAAUGCAUAGGAAUCUGCCCGAUAGUGGGGGAUAACCUGGGGAAACUCAGGCUAAUACCGCAUACGUCCUACGGGAGAAAGCAGGGGAUCUUCGGACCUUGCGCUAUCGGAUGAGCCUAUGUCGGAUUAGCUAGUUGGUGAGGUAACGGCUCACCAAGGCGACGAUCCGUAGCUGGUCUGAGAGGAUGAUCAGCCACACUGGGACUGAGACACGGCCCAGACUCCUACGGGAGGCAGCAGUGGGGAAUAUUGGACAAUGGGGGAAACCCUGAUCCAGCCAUGCCGCGUGUGUGAAGAAGGCCUUCGGGUUGUAAAGCACUUUCAGCGAGGAAGAAAGCCUGGGGGCUAAUACCCCUCAGGAAGGACAUCACUCGCAGAAGAAGCACCGGCUAACUCCGUGCCAGCAGCCGCGGUAAUACGGAGGGUGCGAGCGUUAAUCGGAAUUACUGGGCGUAAAGCGCGCGUAGGUGGCUUGAUAAGCCGGUUGUGAAAGCCCCGGGCUCAACCUGGGAACGGCAUCCGGAACUGUCAGGCUAGAGUGCAGGAGAGGAAGGUAGAAUUCCCGGUGUAGCGGUGAAAUGCGUAGAGAUCGGGAGGAAUACCAGUGGCGAAGGCGGCCUUCUGGACUGACACUGACACUGAGGUGCGAAAGCGUGGGUAGCAAACAGGAUUAGAUACCCUGGUAGUCCACGCCGUAAACGAUGUCGACUAGCCGUUGGGGUCCUUGAGACCUUUUGUGGCGCAGUUAACGCGAUAAGUCGACCGCCUGGGGAGUACGGCCGCAAGGUUAAAACUCAAAUGAAUUGACGGGGGCCCGCACAAGCGGUGGAGCAUGUGGUUUAAUUCGAUGCAACGCGAAGAACCUUACCUACCCUUGACAUCGUGCGAACUUUCCAGAGAUGGAUUGGUGCCUUCGGGAACGCACAGACAGGUGCUGCAUGGCUGUCGUCAGCUCGUGUUGUGAAAUGUUGGGUUAAGUCCCGUAACGAGCGCAACCCUUGUCCCUAUUUGCCAGCGAUUCGGUCGGGAACUCUAGGGAGACUGCCGGUGACAAACCGGAGGAAGGUGGGGACGACGUCAAGUCAUCAUGGCCCUUACGGGUAGGGCUACACACGUGCUACAAUGGUCGGUACAAAGGGUUGCAAUGCCGCGAGGUGGAGCUAAUCCCAUAAAGCCGGUCUCAGUCCGGAUCGGAGUCUGCAACUCGACUCCGUGAAGUCGGAAUCGCUAGUAAUCGUGAAUCAGAAUGUCACGGUGAAUACGUUCCCGGGCCUUGUACACACCGCCCGUCACACCAUGGGAGUGGACUGCACCAGA